GAUGAACGCUGGCGGCGUGCCUAAUACAUGCAAGUCGAGCGAACGGACGAGAAGCUUGCUUCUCUGAUGUUAGCGGCGGACGGGUGAGUAACACGUGGAUAACCUACCUAUAAGACUGGGAUAACUUCGGGAAACCGGAGCUAAUACCGGAUGAUAUUUUGAACCGCAUGGUUCAAAAGUGAAAGACGGUCUUGCUGUCACUUAUAGAUGGAUCCGCGCUGCAUUAGCUAGUUGGUAAGGUAACGGCUUACCAAGGCAACGAUGCAUAGCCGACCUGAGAGGGUGAUCGGCCACACUGGAACUUAGACGCGGUCCAGACUCCUACGGGAGGCAGCAGUAGGGAAUCUUCCGCAAUGGGCGAAAGCCUGACGGAACGACGCCGCGUGAGUGAUGACGGUCUUCGGAUCGUAAAGCUCUGUUAUUAGGGAAGAACAGAUGUGUAAGUAACUGUGCACAUCUUGACGGUACCUAAUCAGAAAGCCACGGCUAACUACGUG
rnacentral:rRNA from 1 species